CCCUUAGAUGUUCUGGGCCGCACGCGCGCUACACUGACGAAUGCAACGAGCUUAUAACCUUGGCCGAAAGGUCUGGGUAAUCUCCAAAUUUCGUCGUGAUGGGGAUAGAUUAUUGCAAUUAUUAAUCUUCAACGAGGAAUGCCUAGUAAGCGCAAGUCAUCAGCUUGCGUUGAUUACGUCCCUGCCCUUUGUACACACCGCCCGUCGCACCUACCGAUUGAAUGGUCCGGUGAAGCCUCCGGAUUGCACAGGCCCCGUGUCUGGCGCGAGAAGUUGGCUAAACCUUACCAUUUAGAGGAAGGUGAAGUCGUAACA
rnacentral:rRNA from 1 species